rnacentral:rRNA from 1 species
CCUAACACAUGCAAGUCGAGCGGUAACAGUUCGAAAGCUUGCUUUUUUUGAUGACGAGCGGCGGACGGGUGAGUAAUGCCUGGGAAUAUGCCUUGAUGUGGGGGAUAACCAUUGGAAACGAUGGCUAAUACCGCAUAAUGCCUACGGGCCAAAGAGGGGGAUCUUCGGACCUCUCGCGUCAAGAUUAGCCCAGGUGGGAUUAGCUAGUUGGUGAGGUAAUGGCUCACCAAGGCGACGAUCCCUAGCUGGUCUGAGAGGAUGAUCAGCCACACUGGAACUGAGACACGGUCCAGACUCCUACGGGAGGCAGCAGUGGGGAAUAUUGCACAAUGGGCGCAAGCCUGAUGCAGCCAUGCCGCGUGUGUGAAGAAGGCCUUCGGGUUGUAAAGCACUUUCAGUCGUGAGGAAGGUAGUUGCGUUAAUAGCGUAAUUAUUUGACGUUAGCGACAGAAGAAGCACCGGCUAACUCCGUGCCAGCAGCCGCGGUAAUACGGAGGGUGCGAGCGUUAAUCGGAAUUACUGGGCGUAAAGCGCAUGCAGGUGGUUUGUUAAGUCAGAUGUGAAAGCCCGGGGCUCAACCUCGGAAUUGCAUUUGAAACUGGCAGACUAGAGUACUGUAGAGGGGGGUAGAAUUUCAGGUGUAGCGGUGAAAUGCGUAGAGAUCUGAAGGAAUACCGGUGGCGAAGGCGGCCCCCUGGACAGAUACUGACACUCAGAUGCGAAAGCGUGGGGAGCAAACAGGAUUAGAUACCCUGGUAGUCCACGCCGUAAACGAUGUCUACUUGGAGGUUGUGGCCUUGAGCCGUGGCUUUCGGAGCUAACGCGUUAAGUAGACCGCCUGGGGAGUACGGUCGCAAGAUUAAAACUCAAAUGAAUUGACGGGGGCCCGCACAAGCGGUGGAGCAUGUGGUUUAAUUCGAUGCAACGCGAAGAACCUUACCUACUCUUGACAUCCAGAGAAGCCAGCGGAGACGCAGGUGUGCCUUCGGGAACUCUGAGACAGGUGCUGCAUGGCUGUCGUCAGCUCGUGUUGUGAAAUGUUGGGUUAAGUCCCGCAACGAGCGCAACCCUUAUCCUUGUUUGCCAGCGAGUAAUGUCGGGAACUCCAGGGAGACUGCCGGUGAUAAACCGGAGGAAGGUGGGGACGACGUCAAGUCAUCAUGGCCCUUACGAGUAGGGCUACACACGUGCUACAAUGGCGCAUACAGAGGGCUGCCAACCAGCGAUGGUGAGCGAAUCCCAAAAAGUGCGUCGUAGUCCGGAUUGGAGUCUGCAACUCGACUCCAUGAAGUCGGAAUCGCUAGUAAUCGUGGAUCAGAAUGCCACGGUGAAUACGUUCCCGGGCCUUGUACACACCGCCCGUCACACCAUGGGAGUGGGCUGCAAAAGAAGUGGGUAGUUUAACCUUUCGAGGAGGACGCUCACCACUUUG